UACGAAGGGGGCUAGCGUUGCUCGGAAUCACUGGGCGUAAAGCGCACGUAGGCGGGUCUUUAAGUCAGGGGUGAAAUCCUGGAGCUCAACUCCAGAACUGCCUUUGAUACUGAAGAUCUUGAGUCCGGGAGAGGUGAGUGGAACUGCGAGUGUAGAGGUGAAAUUCGUAGAUAUUCGCAAGAACACCAGUGGCGAAGGCGGCUCACUGGCCCGGUACUGACGCUGAGGCACGAAAGCGUGGGGAGCAAACAGG
rnacentral:rRNA from 1 species